rnacentral:rRNA from 1 species
GCGGCGGACGGGUGAGUAACACGUGGGUAACCUGCCUGUAAGACUGGGAUAACUCCGGGAAACCGGGGCUAAUACCGGAUGCUUGAUUGAACCGCAUGGUUCAAUCAUAAAAGGUGGCUUUUAGCUACCACUUGCAGAUGGACCCGCGGCGCAUUAGCUAGUUGGUGAGGUAACGGCUCACCAAGGCGACGAUGCGUAGCCGACCUGAGAGGGUGAUCGGCCACACUGGGACUGAGACACGGCCCAGACUCCUACGGGAGGCAGCAGUAGGGAAUCUUCCGCAAUGGACGAAAGUCUGACGGAGCAACGCCGCGUGAGUGAUGAAGGUUUUCGGAUCGUAAAACUCUGUUGUUAGGGAAGAACAAGUACCGUUCGAAUAGGGCGGCACCUUGACGGUACCUAACCAGAAAGCCACGGCUAACUACGUGCCAGCAGCCGCGGUAAUACGUAGGUGGCAAGCGUUGUCCGGAAUUAUUGGGCGUAAAGCGCGCGCAGGCGGUUUCUUAAGUCUGAUGUGAAAGCCCCCGGCUCAACCGGGGAGGGUCAUUGGAAACUGGGGAACUUGAGUGCAGAAGAAGAGAGUGGAAUUCCACGUGUAGCGGUGAAAUGCGUAGAGAUGUGGAGGAACACCAGUGGCGAAGGCGACUCUCUGGUCUGUAACUGACGCUGAGGCGCGAAAGCGUGGGGAGCGAACAGGAUUAGAUACCCUGGUAGUCCACGCCGUAAAC